rnacentral:rRNA from 1 species
AUGGGAACGCGAAGAACCUUACCUACUCUUGACAUCCAGAGAACUUAGCAGAGAUGCUUUGGUGCCUUCGGGAACUCUGAGACAGGUGCUGCAUGGCUGUCGUCAGCUCGUGUUGUGAAAUGUUGGGUUAAGUCCCGCAACGAGCGCAACCCUUAUCCUUUGUUGCCAGCGAUUCGGUCGGGAACUCAAAGGAGACUGCCAGUGAUAAACUGGAGGAAGGUGGGGAUGACGUCAAGUCAUCAUGGCCCUUACGAGUAGGGCUACACACGUGCUACAAUGGCGCAUACAAAGAGAAGCGACCUCGCGAGAGCAAGCGGACCUCAUAAACGUGCGUCGUAGUCCGGAUUGGAGUCUGCAACUCGACUCCAUGAAGUCGGAAUCGCUAGUAAUCGUAGAUCAGAAUGCUACGG